UUGAACGCUGGCGGCAUGCUUUACACAUGCAAGUCGAACGGUAACAGGGAGCUUGCUCCGCUGACGAGUGGCGAACGGGUGAGUAAUAUAUCGGAACGUACCCUGUCGUGGGGGAUAACACAUCGAAAGAUGUGCUAAUACCGCAUACGACCUGAGGGUGAAAGCGGGGGAUCGCAAGACCUCGCGCGAUAGGAGCGGCCGAUAUCGGAUUAGCUAGUUGGUGAGGUAAAGGCUCACCAAGGCGACGAUCCGUAGCUGGUCUGAGAGGACGACCAGCCACACUGGAACUGAGACACGGUCCAGACUCCUACGGGAGGCAGCAGUGGGGAAUUUUGGACAAUGGGGGAAACCCUGAUCCAGCCAUUCCGCGUGAGUGAAGAAGGCCUUCGGGUUGUAAAGCUCUUUCGGCAGGAACGAAACGGUAAGGGCUAAUAUCCUUUGCUAAUGACGGUACCUGAAGAAGAAGCACCGGCUAACUACGU
rnacentral:rRNA from 1 species